rnacentral:rRNA from 1 species
AAGAUCUCAGCAGCAUCACGGGUGGACUUUCCCUAGGUGCCGCAGCGCGCGAAUCACUGUGAUAGAGUUGAUCAUGCUCAGAUGACGCGGCGGUAUCUUACACAUGCAGUCGACGGGCUGGGGCUGCUCUAGUUAGUGCGAACGGUGAGUAAUAUAUCGAACAUGUCCGGAAGUGGGGAUAACGUAGCGAAAGUUCGCUAAUACCGCAUAUGCCCUGAGGGGAAAGGGGGGAUCGCAAGACCUCUCGCUUUCGGAGUGGCCGAUACCGGAUUAGCUAGUAGGUGAGGUAAAGGCUCACCUAGGCGACGAUCCGUAGCUGGUCUGAGAGGACGACCAGCCACACUGGAACUGAGACACGGUCCAGACUCCUACGGGAGGCAGCAGUGGGGAAUUUUGGACAAUGGGCGAAAGCCUGAUCCAGCCAUACCGCGUGAGUGAAGAAGGCCUUCGGGUUGUAAAGCUCUUCAGCCGGAAAGAAAUCGCGCUGGUUAAUAUCCAGCGGGAUGACGGUACCGGAAGAAGAAGCACC